rnacentral:rRNA from 1 species
GAUGAACGCUAGCUACAGGCUUAACACAUGCAAGUCGCGGGGCAGCAUGGGGGUUGCUUGCAAUCCCCGAUGGCGACCGGCGCACGGGUGAGUAACGCGUAUUCAACCUGCCCUUCACCACGGGAUAACCCGGCGAAAGUCGGACUAAUACCGUAUGUUGUCCAUUGACGGCAUCCGAUUUGGACGAAAGGCUUGGCGGUGAGGGAUGGGGAUGCGGCCGAUUAGCCAGACGGCGGGGUAACGGCCCACCGUGGCUACGAUCGGUAGGGGUUCUGAGAGGAAGGUCCCCCACACUGGAACUGAGACACGGUCCAGACUCCUACGGGAGGCAGCAGUGAGGAAUAUUGGUCAAGGGGCGUAAGCCUGAACCAGCCAAGUAGCGUGCAGGAUGACGGCCCUAUGGGUUGUAAACUGCUUUUAUGCGGGGAUAAAGUGGCCCACGGGUGGGCUUUUGCAGGUACCGCAUGAAUAAGGACCGGCUAAUUCCGUG